GUGGGGAAUAUUGGACAAUGGGGGGAACCCUGAUCCAGCCAUGCCGCGUGUGUGAAGAAGGCCUUUUGGUUGUAAAGCACUUUAAGCGAGGAGGAGGCUACCGAGAUUAAUACUCUUGGAUAGUGGACGUUACUCGCAGAAUAAGCACCGGCUAACUCUGUGCCAGCAGCCGCGGUAAUACAGAGGGUGCAAGCGUUAAUCGGAUUUACUGGGCGUAAAGCGCGCGUAGGUGGCCAAUUAAGUCAAAUGUGAAAUCCCCGAGCUUAACUUGGGAAUUGCAGUCGAUACUGGUUGGCUAGAGUAUGGGAGAGGAUGGUAGAAUUCCAGGUGUAGCGGUGAAAUGCGUAGAGAUCUGGAGGAAUACCGAUGGCGAAGGCAACCAUCUGGCCUAAUACUGACACUGAGGUGCGAAAGCAUGGGGAGCAAACAGGAUUAGAAACCCGGGUAGUCC
rnacentral:rRNA from 1 species